UCGCAGGAUGAAGCAGGUGCUGCUGCCAUCAAAACAGUUGAACUUGAUGCAGCGCUUGGAGGUCGUGCCGUACAGUACCGUGAAGUACAGGGCCAUGAAACAGAGAAGUUCCUAUCUUAUUUUAAACCGUGUAUUAUACCUCAAGAAGGUGGUGUUGCAUCUGGGUUCAAACAUGCUGAAGCUGAAGAACACCAGACCCGCUUGUUUGUCUGCAAAGGAAAACACGUUGUUCAUGUAAAAGAGGUUCCUUUUGC
rnacentral:misc_RNA from 1 species